rnacentral:rRNA from 1 species
AGGCAGCAGUGAGGAAUAUUGCGCAAUGGCCGAAAGGCUGACGCAGCGACGCCGCGUGAGGGAUGAAGUCCGUUUGGAUGUAAACCUCUUUUGUGAGGGAUGAAUAGGCCCGCUCGCCGGGCUUUGACCGUACCUCGCGAAUAAGGGUCGGCCAACUACGUGCCAGCAGCCGCGGUAAUACGUAGGACCCGAGCGUUGUCCGGAAUUACUGGGUGUAAAGGGCGUGUAGGUGGGUCGCUAAGUCGGUGGUGAAAUCCUGCAGCUUAACUGCAGAACUGCCUCCGAUACUGGCGGUCUUGAGUGCGGCAGAGGGAGAUGGAAUUCAUGGUGUAGCGGUGAAAUGUGUAGAUAUCAUGAAGAACACCGGUUGCGAAGGCGAUCUCCUGGUCCGCUACUGACACUGAGGCGCGAAAGCGUGGGGAGCAAACAGGAUUAGAUACCCUGGUAGUCCACGCCUUAAACGAUGGGUACUAGGUGCUGGGCCGUAAGGUUCAGUGCCAAAGCUAACGCAUUAAGUACCCCACCUGGGGAGUACGAUCGCAAGGUUGAAACUUAAAGGAAUUGACGG